CUUCGGGCUCUGUGCGACGAAGUCCCGCGAACCCCGCCAGGCCCGGAAGGGAGCAACGGUACCGGGAUCGCUUCGUGCGCCGCGGAGUACCCGAAGUUC
rnacentral:SRP_RNA from 1 species